GAUGAACGCUAGCUACAGGCUUAACACAUGCAAGUCGAGGGGCAGCAUGGUCUUAGCUUGCUAAGGCCGAUGGCGACCGGCGCACGGGUGAGUAACACGUAUCCAACCUGCCGUCUACUCUUGGACAGCCUUCUGAAAGGAAGAUUAAUACAAGAUGGCAUCAUGAGUCCGCAUGUUCACAUGAUUAAAGGUAUUCCGGUAGACGAUGGGGAUGCGUUCCAUUAGAUAGUAGGCGGGGUAACGGCCCACCUAGUCCUCGAUGGAUAGGGGUUCUGAGAGGAAGGUCCCCCACAUUGGAACUGAGACACGGUCCAAACUCCUACGGGAGGCAGCAGUGAGGAAUAUUGGUCAAUGGGCGAGAGCCUGAACCAGCCAAGUAGCGUGAAGGAUGACUGCCCUAUGGGUUGUAAACUUCUUUUAUAAAGGAAUAAAGUCGGGUAUGGAUACCCGUUUGCAUGUACUUUAUGAAUAAGGAUCGGCUAACUCCGUG
rnacentral:rRNA from 1 species